AUGUCUAGUGGUUUUCACUUAUUUAUUUUUGACUCCCUUAAACAGAGUAUCAACAGAUUAAUAAGGCUUCAUUUCCUCUUCUAUCAACUGGGUCAUCUUUUCAGCUUUUUGGUUUCAGCUUUUGCUUGUUUGCAUCUCUUUCAGGUAAACCAGUACCUAAAACUAGGGUCUAUUGUGUACUUUUCUUACUGUCUCCUUUGUACGCUGCUUGAAGAAGGUUUGCUGGAGCUGUGUGAAAGUGCAUAUUGUCUAGAAGACAGAACUAUUUUUAGCUUGAAGAACCUUUGUUUAGGGAGCAACUUUUGAAGUCAAUGAAAAUGCCAGAUUUGGAAGAAUUCUAGAGGCAUGUGUAAGGAAGCAGCGUGGUUGAGAAUCAGGAUGGAUCUGCAGAUGGUAGGACAUUACCAACAGGUAUUGAGCACACGUUGUAUAAACAGAGGACAAGACAGUUGAAUCCAAUGACAGAAAGAUCACUCCUUUUAAGGAGAAAUAUAAAUGCACUACUCAGCCACCGUCAAAGGGUAGUCAUCAACAACCACUGCCACCAUUACCACAACAAACCAUACAGUUUCAAAAGAAAGCUGUUCCCCUAUUUUCCUUUUGAAAUGCUUAAUGAAAAGUUGCACAAAAAGUUUCUGUGGAUUUGAGGAUUUUGGAAUAAGCAAGAGGUAGGAACAGAAGCCCGUGAGCUUUGUCUCUACUGGCUUUAAUUGUUUUGGUUUCAAGCUUAGCAGCAAAAUGCUCCUGCCAAGUGAAUGUACGUGAACAUGGGCCAUUUUCUGCUUUGCUUCACUCAGAUGUUUGAAGAAAGAUCCUGGUUUGUAUCAGUUCGACAUCAUUUUAGUGUAAAAGGAAACACACCCCUUGAAACAAUUAAGGGAUCACAAUUUAUCAUUAGAGUGAAUAAUAGGUUGGCAUGUCUAUUUAGAAUAGGGUUUUAGAAAUUAAUUACUGGGAUAAGUCACAAAAUGCUUUGCUGUUUUCUAACAAUUAAAGGCUACAUUUGACAAUUAGAUGAUGAGAAAAUUUCCAGGGCAAUAUAUUUAUCAUUUAUCACUCAGAAUGGGGUCAGCAAACUUUCUCUAAAGAGCCAAAUAGUAAAUAUUUUAGAUCUUGCACCUUUGUAGCAUGAAAGCAGUCACAGACAGUAAAUGAAAGUGUGCUUAUGUUCUAAUAAGACUAUGCACUAUGUAUGAUAUUUCAUUUAAUUUUAACAUAUGUUAAUACCUUAUUCUUCUUUGAUUUUUUAAUCCAACUAUUUAAAGAUGCAAAAACUAUUUUUAGCUCUGGGUUGUAUAAAAAUAGGCAAUGAGCCAAAUUUGGCCUAAGGGGUGUUGUUUGCUGACUCCUGCUGUAAAAGAGAAGGACUCUGUUAUUUACACUAGGAUGUCUGAGCAUUAAUUUAAAGAGCAAUGCGUUCCUUAACUUAAAAUCAUUUUACAAUCCUGGUCCAAUGAUUAUUGUUUUUAAAGUGCAUUGUUUGGGUUGUUUGAAGACUGUGCUAUAUGAGGGCUGGCUGUGUGGCAUGAGGUUUGACAAAUUAAACUUUGACUGUGUUCCUCUCAUUAUGUUCCACUUCUCUUUAUCAGUAAAAGAAACUUGUGUCAUUGACUCACUUGUUGCAAUGAAUAAAUCUGUAUAAUUUUACA
rnacentral:lncRNA from 12 species